CAAAUCGUACCCCAAACCGACACAGGUGGUCAGGUAGAGAAUACCAAGGCGCUUGAGAGAACUCGGGUGAAGGAACUAGGCAAAAUGGUGCCGUAACUUCGGGAGAAGGCACGCUGACACGUAGGUGAAGUGAUUUACUCAUGGAGCUGAAGUCAGUCGAAGAUACCAGCUGGCUGCAACUGUUUAUUAAAAACACAGCACUGUGCAAACACGAAAGUGGACGUAUACGGUGUGACGCCUGCCCGGUGCCGGAAGGUUAAUUGAUGGGGUCAGCGCAAGCGAAGCUCCUGAUCGAAGCCCCGGUAAACGGCGGCCGUAACUAUAACGGUCCUAAGGUAGCGAAAUUCCUUGUCGGGUAAGUUCCGACCUGCACGAAUGGCGUAAUGAUGGCCAGGCUGUCUCCACCCGAGACUCAGUGAAAUUGAACUCGCUGUGAAGAUGCAGUGUACCCGCGGCAAGACGGAAAGACCCCGUGAACCUUUACUAUAGCUUGACACUGAACAUUGAGCCUUGAUGUGUAGGAUAGGUGGGAGGCUUUGAAGUGUGGACGCCAGUCUGCAUGGAGCCGACCUUGAAAUACCACCCUUUAAUGUUUGAUGUUCUAACGUGGACCCGUAAUCCGGGUUGCGGACAGUGUCUGGUGGGUAGUUUGACUGGGGCGGUCUCCUCCUAAAGAGUAACGGAGGAGCACGAAGGUUGGCUAAUCCUGGUCGGACAUCAGGAGGUUAGUGCAAUGGCAUAAGCCAGCUUGACUGCGAGCGUGACGGCGCGAGCAGGUGCGAAAGCAGGUCAUAGUGAUCCGGUGGUUCUGAAUGGAAGGGCCAUCGCUCAACGGAUAAAAGGUACUCCGGGGAUAACAGGCUGAUACCGCCCAAGAGUUCAUAUCGACGGCGGUGUUUGGCACCUCGAUGUCGGCUCAUCACAUCCUGGGGCUGAAGUAGGUCCCAAGGGUAUGGCUGUUCGCCAUUUAAAGUGGUACGCGAGCUGGGUUUAGAACGUCGUGAGACAGUUCGGUCCCUAUCUGCCGUGGGCGCUGGAGAACUGAGGGGGGCUGCUCCUAGUACGAGAGGACCGGAGUGGACGCAUCACUGGUGUUCGGGUUGUCAUGCCAAUGGCACUGCCCGGUAGCUAAAUGCGGAAGAGAUAAGUGCUGAAAGCAUCUAAGCACGAAACUUGCCCCGAGAUGAGUUCUCCCUGAGACUUUAGGUCUCCUGAAGGAACGUUGAAGACGACGACGUUGAUAGGCCGGGUGUG
rnacentral:rRNA from 1 species